rnacentral:rRNA from 1 species
GGGACACGUGAUAUCCUGUCUGAAUAUGGGGGGACCAUCCUCCAAGGCUAAAUACUACUGACUGACCGAUAGUGAACCAGUACCGUGAGGGAAAGGCGAAAAGAACCCCUGUGAGGGGAGUGAAAUAGAACCUGAAACCGUGUACGUACAAGCAGUAGGAGCAGGCUUUGUCCUGUGACUGCGUACCUUUUGUAUAAUGGGUCAGCGACUUAUAUUCAGUGGCAAGGUUAACCAUCUAGGGGAGCCGUAGGGAAACCGAGUCUUAACUGGGCGUUCAGUCUCUGGAUAUAGACCCGAAACCAGGUGAUCUAGCCAUGGGCAGGUUGAAGGUUGAGUAACAUCAACUGGAGGACCGAACCGACUAAUGUUGAAAAAUUAGCGGAUGACUUGUGGCUAGGGGUGAAAGGCCAAUCAAACCUGGAGAUAGCUGGUUCUCCCCGAAAGCUAUUUAGGUAGCGCCUCGGACGAAUACUACUGGGGGUAGAGCACUGUUAAGGCUAGGGGGUCAUCCCGACUUACCAACCCUUUGCAAACUCCGAAUACCAGUAAGUACUAUCCGGGAGACACACGGCGGGUGCUAACGUCCGUCGUGGAGAGGGAAACAACCCAGACCGCCAGCUAAGGUCCCAAAUUACUACUAAGUGGGAAACGAUGUGGGAAGGCUCAGACAGCCAGGAUGUUGGCUUAGAAGCAGCCAUCAUUUAAAGAAAGCGUAAUAGCUCACUGGUCGAGUCGGCCUGCGCGGAAGAUGUAACGGGGCUAAGUAGUAAACCGAAGCUGCGGCAAUAUACUUUUGUAUAUUGGGUAGGGGAGCGUUCUGUAAGCGGUUGAAGGUGUGUGGUAACGCAUGCUGGACGUAUCAGAAGUGCGAAUGCUGACAUGAGUAACGAUAAAGGGGGUGAAAAACCUCCUCGCCGGAAGACCAAGGGUUCCUGUCCAACGUUAAUCGGGGCAGGGUAAGUCGACCCCUAAGGCGAGGCCGAAAGGCGUAGUCGAUGGGAAACGGGUUAAUAUUCCCGUACUUCUUACAAUUGCGAUGGGGGGACGGAGAAGGCUAGGUGGGCCUGGCGACGGUUGUCCAGGUUCAAGUGCGUAGGCUUAAGAGUUAGGUAAAUCCGGCUCUUUUUAAGGCUGAGACACGACGUCGAGCACCUACGGGUGUGAAGUCAUUGAUGCCAUGCUUCCAGGAAAAGCCUCUAAGCUUCAGAUUGUAAGGAAUCGUACCCCAAACCGACACAGGUGGUCGGGUAGAGAAUACCAAGGCGCUUGAGAGAACUCGGGUGAAGGAACUAGGCAAAAUGGUACCGUAACUUCGGGAGAAGGUACGCUCUCGACGGUGAAGUCCCUCGCGGAUGGAGCUAUUGAGAGUCGCAGAUACCAGGUGGCUGCAACUGUUUAUUAAAAACACAGCACUGUGCAAAAUCGUAAGAUGACGUAUACGGUGUGACGCCUGCCCGGUGCCGGAAGGUUAAUUGAUGGGGUUAGACUUCGGUCGAAGCUCUUGAUCGAAGCCCCGGUAAACGGCGGCCGUAACUAUAACGGUCCUAAGGUAGCGAAAUUCCUUGUCGGGUAAGUUCCGACCUGCACGAAUGGCGUAAUGAUGGCCACGCUGUCUCCACCCGAGACUCAGUGAAAUUGAAAUCGCUGUGAAGAUGCAGUGUACCCGCGGCUAGACGGAAAGACCCCGUGAACCUUUACUACAGCUUGGCACUGAACAUUGACCCUACAUGUGUAGGA